AGAAGCUUUACAAACUUUGCAUAUUUCCCUUUCCGCAU
rnacentral:sRNA from 1 species